rnacentral:rRNA from 1 species
UACGUAGGGACCGAGCGUUGUCCGGAUUCAUUGGGCGUAAAGAGCUCGUAGGCGGCUGUUCAAGUCGAACGUGAAAACUCGGAGCUCAACUCCGAGCCUGCGUUCGAUACUGGACGGCUAGAGUCUGGUAGGGGGAUCUGGAAUUCCUGGUGUAGCGGUGGAAUGCGCAGAUAUCAGGAGGAACACCGGUGGCGAAGGCGGCGACCUGGGCCAAUAUUGACGCUGAGGUGCGAAAGCGUGGGGAGCAAACAGG